AGCAAUAUUUCUAAGGUGAAAGAAGGCGAUCCUGGUGAUAUUAUUCAUGUGAGCCUCAAAGGAAAGACUAGGGUGAAUAAUAACACCAAGGUCUAUGACAGCUGUACACGUUGAAACAAAAACACCAUCCAGAGAUGCUACUUAACCGGAAAGUUUGCUUCUAGCUGCAUGUGGUCCUGGUAAAAGUACAAUUUUGAUUUUUAUUACAGGUCUUGGGUGUUUUCUUGAUCAUUGUGGCAAUUAUUUGCACUGAGAUGUGAGUUGUUUUAAAAAAUGUUCACAAAUGUUAAUAAUUAAAUGAUUUAUUGAGGUUAAUAAUAAAAAAAACGACUUUAACAAAAACUUACAAGCAAUUUUAUGGUUUGCAUUUAUUCCCACUAACUGUACCAUUGGACUGAAAUGAACCGUGACUUUUGUUUACCUUUACACCCCCUAGUGGCUGGAGCAAGAGACCUUCUUAGCCUGUUGCCAUAGUGAUCUUUACCAGGGAUUAUGGACAAAUAAAGAUUUUUGCAACCGUGUCUAAACAUUUACCGUCUAUGGUUUCAGAGUGGAUUUGGACAACUUGGACUGUUCAGGACGACCCCUGUAAACAAUACUAUGAGACCAUGUAUGUGAAUCCGAUCCUACUCGUGCCUCCAACCAAGGUUGUCAAUAUGACCAUGUCCAUCUUAAUUACGGACCCUCUGAAGCACUUGGGAGAAGGCAUUAGCAAGUUUCUAAAGGCCUCACUGAAACCCCUGCCUGUUACACUUCAUUUUCCUAUGCUUCCUGUAUUCGCGCUCGCCAUCGUGGCAUGUCAUUUUGAAUGGUUUCGGGUUUUCAGUGGAAAAUGGCUGUAAAACCUUUUAUUUUCAGUUGUACUGAGAUCAAGACUGAGCAAAUCCCAACUAGGGGUGUGCGAUUUUGACCAAAAAUGAUAUCUUGAUAUUUUUUUGGUGGAUUUUAUCGAUAAUGAUAAAAAGGGUUUCUACGCAUUUUGCGUAGCAGCGUGGCGAUGCCGGGGCUUAAACCCCCGACCAGUAACAUUGAACCAUAACCACUAAGCUAACCCCGAGUAUAUUAUAUAUAAAUAAUAAGAGUAGAACGUUUGAGUAUCACCCAAAAGGCCACUCUUGUUUAGUAAAAUGUCUUUCUAAAUGGAGAUCACGGUCACGUACAUCUUGGCUCGUGAUUGGACCUCAAAUUUGCUGCAUGUAUGGGAUUUUAAUGUCUGUUUUUACCUUUGAAAUAUAAUAUAUAUUUAAUAAUAUAUAUAAUAAUUCUCACAAUUUAGAUUUUUAUUACAGGUCUUGGGCGUUUUCUUGAUCAUCGUGGCAAUAAUUUGCACUGAGAUGUGGUCGGUGGUGUCCUGGUUUCUCCGGUUUAAGCGACUGUUUGUCAGAUGCUUCUCCAUCAGUCUGUUGUGGAACUGGUAUUAUCUCUACAUGGUAAGGUUGAAAGGUCGAUAGGAAAUACAGUUUAUUGCAAACUACACAAAAUAACAUGCAUUGUAAUUGUUUGGUAUGGUAUUGCUCUUAUAAAACCAUAUCCUGAAUAUUUCCAUAGUGGCUAAAUAGCAUAAUUAUGGUGUAAUAGUUGAAUAUUGAAUCCAAAGUGUGAUUGAAACAUUCAACCUUCUCUAGAUUGCCUAUGCUGAACAGCAGGCCAACCUUGCAAAGAUGGAGAACCUCAAUAAUAAAUGCACCGGAGUGAAGAAACUUGACUGGAUGGACAAUAUCAAAGCCCAACGCCGUGACUGCCGAAAUACACUACGAUGCCGAGGUGAAACUUUCGAAGCAAAAGCUGGCGGAAAUCCAGACGUUUGUAAAUGAAGAUAACAGCUAUAGAACCGCCUCUCUAGAUGAUGCGCUGAGUAAAGUUCUUAUCAACUUUAAACACCACGACUACGUAGCUUCCAGGAAGUGGCGCUUCGAAGACACGUUUGUGGUCAAACUCGACAUGGUUAUCAAGGUCUUUAUAUAAAGCGCUGGCCAAGCAGCUGUACACCAUGCUGUUCUUGGACCUCUCAGAAGACGUCCACCCAACAUUGUACAGCAACCUUCUGCUCCUCAAUACAGGAGUCAGAGCAACAUAUAAAUACACGCGAGGAACCGGGCUCAUCUUUACAAAACGCAGCCUGAUAUUUUUAUUGUUGUUAAUCUGUUCAUAGUGUAUAUAUUUAUUUUUUCUUAGUUUAAUUUACUCUUUAAAAAUGUGCUAUUUUAAAUUUCUUUAUAAUCUGAUUUUUUAAAAAUAAAUAAAUGUGUAUGAAAUUAUGAGACCAUUUAUUUCACUGUUUAAUGAAAGCCAACAAGUGAACUGUAAAAUUACAAAAUAUAUAUUUACCACCAAAUAAAUGUAAUGUCUCUAGCUCCAUUAGUACAGUAUUAUGCCAAUCAGUGCAGUUUAUGGGGUUAUAAGGCCACAAUAUUACCUACAUAAUAUUAAGGUGUUGCAUAAAAUUGUUUUUGUUUACAUUUAGGAAUAUGUCGACAAACAUCACCCACUAUUGAAGAUGCUAACAUUUUAUAGUUAUAGCAGACUAUUGUAAUUAUUAACCCACCAGAAACCCUCUAGACCAGAUAUACACUUUUACCCCAUGAAACCCCACCUCAAAGUACUGUGUUUAUUUUAUUAUUAAUAUUUUAACUCCACAAAAUUAAACUAAUAUAAGCGAUGUUCUAUGUUAUCUGAAGCAUAUUGCUUCAGAAUAUUAUAUAUUCUAGAUUUUACUACUGAUAGCUGAAGCUGACCUAAGCUAAAUUACAUGGGUGAACUUUAUCCACCCUAUUAUGCAAGCAAGAUGAGUCAAGAUGUUAUGCGGUCUCUUUGUUUUCCCCACAUAGCCGAGGUGUUUAUCCACAUAGGCAGCUCCAUACAUGACUUCUGAGAGAAUUUUGCACAUUGCAUGGUGCACCUGCAUUUAACAACCCUAUUGAACCUGACUUUGUUCUACUAUUAUUGCUGUUAUUAUUAUUUUAUAUUAUAAACUGAACUAGCUACAUUUCUCAACAUACUCCCCCCUUAAAAUAUAACCUGCCUUUUUCUUUUUCCCCCAAUUACUUUUAUCAAAUCAAACUGCUUUCUAGAAUCUCAACAUACUCCCCCUCCCAUCAUAUUUCGUUUGAUCUAACUUUGACUGCAAAGCAUGUCUCGUUCUCAAAAAAUAGGUGUACCAGGAGUGGGCGGAAAACCUCUUUGACCAAUUGUGAGGAAAAUUUCCACUCUGCCCGCUUUGUGCGCGACAGUGAUCGUGAACACCAGGUCACCUUAAGAUUUUCCAUAGAUAUUAAAACAAUGGAGAGUUAACAGUAUCAAAAAACAUAAAACAAACCAAAAACAUAUAGUUUACAAAGAAAAGUUCUAACAUAGGUAAUAAAAGGUAAGAAAGUGUACGAAAAGUUCAGUGCCACCACUAAUGGUGGGUUUUGGCGAAGCAGUGCAUCCAGCUUGGAAAUUGCGUUCAGCGUUUGGUGUUCAGUGGAUAAUCUUAUUUCUCUAUACUAUCUGUAAUUACUAUAUAAAAUUAGUCAGUGUAACACUUGAAUUGUGGUUUUAUCAUGUGCUUUUUAUGCAAAGUCACAUAUCCAUGGUCUACUGACCUGCUAUGCCAAGGAAUGACAGCAUUUGUUUUAAAGCUUAUGGUUUUGAUGCUUUCUGAAUAGUAUCCACAAGGGCUAACAAUAUUUUAUGGCUUUGUGCCUCUUCCUAGGUAUUCUACUUUUAGUUUACAGCAUUGUAGCUUCUUUUUACCCACAUUAUGCUCAUUCUGUUUUAUUGUUUCUAACACAAAAUAAAUUAGUUGAAUGUCAAUAUACAUUAGCAAUUAUUAAAAUUUGUAAAAAGUCCCGCUCCAGUACUUGCUUGAAUAAUGAUAGGCUUUUAAAAUAUCUUUGUAAUAAUCUAGAAUCUAGAGUAGGUGUAUUGUCCAUGAUAUGUAAAUGAAAAUGUAAAUGCAAACAGAAAUCAUUACUGAUUGUUUCCGGCUGUUAUUGCUGAUAUUCUUAUUAUUCUAUACCUUUUCAUAUUAUUUUUUUUUUAGGUUUUUAGAAAACUUGGUAUUUUCAUAUUAGAAAAGAAGCGUAGAUACGGGAUUUUCCUUCCAUCACUAUUUAUAGGGAGAAUUUAUAUUUAUAUAGAACUUUUACUAAUCCUGCUGCUUUCACUAGUCUACUAGAUGUUGGGUGAUUUAUCUUUAAUUGUUCUGUUACUACUUUUAAAAGUCUCUCUGGUUCUUGAUCAACUGAUCCUUCAAUCUAACUAUACUAUAACCUGUAUGUGUGCUUACUAAUCAUUAUAUUCAAUUGCUUUCCUAAAAGCUUCCUAUUCGAGUGACAAGUGAGUGUACGGCUUAUUUGUAGGCCUUCAUUUACUUCCCUGAUCUACUUUACUGACCAUUAGCCCUAAACCUUAUGAUUUAAAAUUACGCUCAAUCAUUAGGGUAACAUAUGGAACAGCCUUUUUCCCGUUGAUACAGUUCUUGUAUUUGUCAGGCAGCUCUACAGUAUUUUCUUGUUGUUGCAAUAUUAUGUCCAAUGUUUUGCUAUCUUUUCAAUGUCCAUUUAGAUGUUCUUCCAAGAGCGUUUCAUACUCUUCAUUUCUUCCGCCUUCAUCAUAUUUUAUAGCAAAAUGCCAGGGAUCACUUGUUUCUCGACAGUCUGGGCACAUGUGCUCUAACCAGAGUUUCCUAUUAAGAGUUUUCCCACAAUCCUGACGCACUUUUCUCCUUAAUUUCCAGCCAGUAUCCAUCCAGCCAGUCUAAUAUGUUCUGUCCAUCUUCUUAUUCAAGCAUUACACAAUGAUGUUCUAACAGUUCUGGAAGUGUGACUCAUGAUCUUGUAGGCCCACUGUGAACCUUUGAGCCAAGAUUGUGUUUUUCUUGCUGAGAGAAGCUUACUGUUUUCAUUGCUUUACAGAAGAAUGCUGGAGAUUGUGACUUUUGGGUCCAUCAGAAAAAGAUGCAGCUAUCAGCUGUUUUCAUCCCCUGGAGCUUCCAUCUCCUCUUCUCCAGGCAUCUUGCAGAUUUAGAAUGAACUGGGGUAUUCCUUCACCAUCUUCCUGGAUCCACCUUGAUUCGGCAUGGUAUUCUGUUUUUCCAUGACCUGGGACUGUUGUCAUAUUUAGUCCGCACAGCCAAUCUUCUGAUUUGUGCUGGGUCAACCAGUUCCAAGAUAGUGAUCCAUUUCUGAGUUCCUCCACAUGUGCAUGGGAGUUGGCCUCACAGGCCUGUUAUGUCCAUGAAUGGGAUUGUUGAUAGUCGAUCGCAAAACAUUGUCUCGGAAGAGGCUCAUUUCAUCUGUUUCAUCCAUAUUUUCACCCCACCUACUAUUCCUGGGAACACAUCAGGUCACUGAACUGGGGUAUUCCUUCAUUAUAUUCCUGGAUCCACCUUGAUUGGGCAUGGUAUUCUCUUUUUCCAUGGCCUGGGACUGUUGUCAUAUUUAUUCUGCACAGCCAAUCUAAUGAUUUGUGCUGGGUCAACCAGUUCCAAGAUAGUGAUCCAUUUCUGAGUUCCUCCACAUGUGCAUAGGAGUUGGCCUCACAGGCCUGGUAUGUCCAUGAAUGGAGUUGUUGAUAGUUGAUCGCAGAACAUUGUCUCAGAAGAGGCUUAAUUCGUCUGUUUCAUCCAUAUUUUCACCCCAGCGACCAUUCCUGGGAACACAUCAGGUCACUGGGGUAGGGACUGAAAGUAUGGAUCGUUGUAUUGGGUUUGGGUCUUUAUGUCCUAUUGUGGUAGACUUCUCUCUUUCUUUCCACCCUUUUUUUUUCAUAUUCGUCAUCAUUCUUUGAUUUUGCUUUCGUUGAUUCUUCAUGUUUAUUCUUCUCAUAAAUGAAUGAAAGAGAUCUUCUCCCAAUUUCCCCCUUUUUUUUCCCGAAAAGUGCAUCCUUUUACUUUUCUUUCUUUAAUUGUAGUUUGUCUUGUCCACUGGUACACUUUUUUUGUUCACUUUUAAAGGAACUCAUGUCCUCUGUCCAGCAUAUCUCUAUCUCAUAUUUCUUUCUUUUUGUUUUUACUUUCAGUGGACGUGAUUCUCACUUGAUUUCUUUUCAUCCAUCUUCAAUAAUCUUUAUAAUUUUCUUCAUCAUGUUCACUUUGGUCUUUUUAGUUCCACUGUAUGUCUCUCUGUGUCUUUGCUCGGCCUAUGCCUUCUUCCUUCCUUCUUGUACUUCAACUUCCUCUCAGUUUUUUUGGGAGAAAUGCUGUGGAUGUGCUGUUUUUUGAAGUCCUUCAUGUAUUUCUCUGUUUUCUUUCUUUCUCGCUCCUCACAUUGCUCACUUCCAUCACUAGGUACUGCCUCUGCUUCGAACUUCGAUGGGAUGGGUCACAUUUAUGUCGCUUUGUUGUUCUCUUUCUUGCUAUUAACUUUUUUUU